rnacentral:rRNA from 1 species
UGAGGGGGGCUGCUCCUAGUACGAGAGGACCGGAGUGGACGCAUCACUGGUGUUCGGGUUGUCAUGCCAAUGGCACUGCCCGGUAGCUAAAUGCGGAAGAGAUAAGUGCUGAAAGCAUCUAAGCACGAAACUUGCCCCGAGAUGAGUUCUCCCUGACUCCUUGAGAGUCCUGAAGGAACGUUGACGACGACGACGUUGAUAGGCCGGGUGUGUAAGCGCAGCGAUGCGUUGAGCUAACCGGUACUAAUGAACCGUGAGGCUUAACCUUACAACGCCGAAGGUGUUU